rnacentral:rRNA from 1 species
GGGUUUGAUUCUGGCUCAGAGCGAACGCUGGCGGCGUGUCUGAUUCAUGCAAGUCGAGCGGAAAGGCCCCUUCGGGGGUACUCGAGCGGCGAAAGGCCGAGUAAUGCAUGGGUAACGUACCCUGGAGACCGGGAUAGCCCGAGGAAACUCGGAUUAAUACCGGAUACGUUCCUUGAACGCAUGUUCGAGGAAGAAUGGCGGGGACCCUUCGGGGCCUGUCACUCUUGGAGCGGCCCAUGUCCUAUUAGCUUGUUGGUGGGGUAACGGCUCACCAAGGCUUAGAUGGGUAGCCGACCUGAGAGGGUGAUCGGCCGGACUGGGACUGAGAAACUGCCCAGACUCCUACGGGAGGCAGCAGAGGAGAAUCAUCGACAAUGAGCGAAAGCUUGAUCGUGCGACGCCGCGUGGAGGAUUAAGGCCUUCGGGUUGUAAACUCCUGUUGAGGUCUAGGAAAUCAUGGAGGGUUAAUACCCCUACUUGUUGACCAAACCUUGAGGAAGCCACGGCUAACUCCGUGCCAGCAGCCGCGGUAAUACGGAGGUGGCAAGCGUUGCUCGGAAUUACUGGGCGUAAAGGGCGUGUAGGCGGAUUGGUAAGUCAAGCGUGAAAUCCCUCGGCUCAACCGAGGAAUUGCGUUCGAAACUGUCUUUCUUGAGUGUGGAAGAGGAGAGUGGAACUCCUGGUGGAGCGGUGAAAUGCGUAGAUAUCAGGAGGAACGCCGGCGGCGAAAGCGGCUCUCUGGUCCACUACUGACGCUGAGGCGCGAAAGCUAGGGUAGCGAACGGGAUUAGAUACCCCGGUAGUCCUAGCCCUAAACGAUGGGCACUAGGUAAAUGGAGCUCUGAUGCUCUGUGUGCCGCAGCUAACGCAUUAAGUGCCCCGCCUGGGGAGUAUGGUCGCAAGGCUAAAACUCAAAGAAAUUGACGGGGGCUCGCACAAGCGGUGGAGGAUGUGGCUUAAUUCGACGCGAAGAACCUUACCGGGGUUUGACAUGCAUGUGGUACGAAGCCGAAAGGCCUAGGACCUGCUUUUAGUAGGAGCAUGCACAGGUGUUGCAUGGCUGUCGUCAGCUCGUGUCGUGAGAUGUUGGGUUAAGUCCCGUAACGAGCGAAACCCUUAUCCUUAGUUGCCAGCGCGUAAUGGCGGGGACUCUAAGGAGACUGCCGGUGUUAAACCGGAGGAAGGUGGGGAUGACGUCAAGUCCUCAUGGCCCUUACGCCCCGGGCUGCACACGUCCUACAAUGGUCGGUACAGAGGGAUGCAAGACCGCGAGGUGGAGCAAAACCCAAAAAGCCGGCCUCAGUUCGGAUCGCAGGCUGAAAUUCGCCUGCGUGAAGUCGGAAUCGCUAGUAAUCGCGUAUCAGCAUGACGCGGUGAAUAUGUUCCCGAGCCUUGUACACACCGCCCGCCUAGCCACGAGAGCCGGGGGUACCUGAAGUCGCUCACCGAACCCUUCGGGGACGGAAGCGCCGACGGUAAACCUGGUGAUUGGGACUAAGUCGUAACAAGGUA